UACAGAGGGUGCAAGCGUUAAUCGGAAUUACUGGGCGUAAAGCGCGCGUAGGCGGCUAAUUAAGUCAGGUGUGAAAGCCCCGGGCUCAACCUGGGAAUUGCAUCCGAUACUGAUUGGCUAGAGUAUGAGAGAGGGAGGUAGAAUUCCACGUGUAGCGGUGAAAUGCGUAGAUAUGUGGAGGAAUACCGGUGGCGAAGGCGGCCUCCUGGCUUAAUACUGACGUGAGGUGCGAAAGCGUGGGGAUCAAACAGG
rnacentral:rRNA from 1 species